rnacentral:rRNA from 1 species
CAGUCGCCGCGGGAAUACGGAGGGAGCUAGCGUUGUUCGGAAUUACUGGGCGUAAAGCGCACGUAGGCGGACUUUUAAGUCAGGGGUGAAAUCCCGGGGCUCAACCCCGGAACUGCCUUUGAUACUGGAAGUCUUGAGUAUGGUAGAGGUGAGUGGAAUUCCGAGUGUAGAGGUGAAAUUCGUAGAUAUUCGGAGGAACACCGGUGGCGAAGGCGGCUCACUGGACCAUUACUGACGCUGAGGUGCGAAAGCGUGGGGAGCAAACAGGAUUAGAUACCCGGGUAGUCCCUGUCUCUUAUAC